UACGUAGGGUGCAAGCGUUGUCCGGAAUUAUUGGGCGUAAAGAGCUCGUAGGCGGUCUGUCGCGUCUGCUGUGAAAUCUCAGGGCUUAACCCUGAGCGUGCAGUGGGUACGGGCAGACUAGAGUGCGGUAGGGGAGACUGGAAUUCCUGGUGUAGCGGUGAAAUGCGCAGAUAUCAGGAGGAACACCGGUGGCGAAGGCGGGGUCUCUGGGCCGUAACUGACGCUGAGGAGCGAAAGCAUGGGGGAGCGAACAGG
rnacentral:rRNA from 1 species